GGAGGAUCAUUAUCGUAGGGCUUCGGCCCUGUCGAGAUAGAACCCUUGCCUUUUUGAGUACCUUUCGUUUCCUCGGCAGGCUCGCCUGCCAAUGGGGACCACAAAAAACACUUUGCAGUACCUGUAACAGUCUGAACAAACGAAACAAAAAUUAAAACUUUCAACAACGGAUCUCUUGGUUCUGGCAUCGAUGAAGAACGCAGCGAAAUGCGAUAAGUAGUGUGAAUUGCAGAAUUCAGUGAAUCAUCGAAUCUUUGAACGCACAUUGCGCCCUUUGGUAUUCCUUAGGGCAUGCCUGUUCGAGCGUCAUUUAAACCUUCAAGCUAAGCUUGGUGUUGGGUGACUGUCCGCUUCACUGCGGACUCGCCUCAAAAUUAUUGGCGGCCGGUACAUUGGCUUCGAGCGCAGCAGAAACGCGAACUCGGGCCCGUCGUAUUGGCUCCCAGAAGCUAUCUUCACAAUUUUGACCUCGGAUCAGGUAGGGAUACCCGCUGAACUUAAGCAUAUCAAUAAGCGGAGGA
rnacentral:rRNA from 1 species